rnacentral:tRNA from 2 species
UCCGCCAUGGUGUAAGCGGCAGCACAGGGUCUUUUGGUGGCCUUUGUCCGGGUUCGAGUCCUGGUGGCGGAG